CGGACGAGAAGCCCCGCAAGGGGUGAGUAAAGUGGCGUACGGGUGAGUAACACGUGGGUAAUCUGCUCUUUGGUGGGGAAUAACCCUGGGAAACCGGGGCUAAUACCGCAUAAGCUCGCAAGAGGAAAGGUGAAAAUCGCCGAAGAAGGAGCCCGCGGCUGAUUAGCUAGUUGGUGAGGUAAAGGCUCACCAAGGCGAAGAUCGGUAGCCGGCCUGAGAGGGCACACGGCCACACUGGCACUGAAACACGGGCCAGACUCCUACGGGAGGCAGCAGUGGGGAAUCUUGCACAAUGGGGGAAACCCUGAUGCAGCGACGCCGCGUGAGCGAUGAAGCCCUUCGGGGUGUAAAGCUCUUUCGGCAGGAACGAUAAUGACGGUACCUGAAGAAGAAGCUGCGGCUAACUACGUGCCAGCAGCCGCGGUAAUACGAAGGCAGCGAGCGUUG
rnacentral:rRNA from 1 species